rnacentral:rRNA from 1 species
AACGAACGCUGGCGGCAUGCCUAACACAUGCAAGUCGAACGAGACCUUCGGGUCUAGUGGCGCACGGGUGCGUAACGCGUGGGAAUCUGCCCUCUGGUACGGAAUAACUCAGGGAAACUUGAGCUAAUACCGUAUAAUGACUUCGGUCCAAAGAUUUAUCGCCUGAGGAUGAGCCCGCGUAGGAUUAGCUAGUUGGUGAGGUAAAGACUCACCAAGGCGACGAUCUUUAGCUGGUCUGAGAGGAUGAUCAGCCACACUGGGACUGAGACACGGCCCAGACUCCUACGGGAGGCAGCAGUGGGGAAGUAUUGGACAAUGGGCGAAAGCCUGAUCCAGCAAUGCCGCGUGAGUGAUGAAGGCCUUAGGGUUGUAAAGCUCUUUUACCC